rnacentral:lncRNA from 1 species
AUGGCACGUCUCGGAAUCUAAGGAUCAAUACAAGAUUAAUUAAAGUGAGGGCUAUGUAAUUGUCAUACUAAAUUUCGUUUUAAGAAAUUCGGCGUUCUAUUCCUCCUAACAGUGAAUCUAUGUACUCCAAUGUGAUCGAAUAAAACAUGAAUCUAAACAGUGACAAAUAAACGCUUGCUUGAGCCCUUCCAGUUGUGUGACUCGGCAAACUAAAGACUUGCUAAUAAUUUCACAAAUUUCAACUCAGGCUGCCAGGGAGGAAAGCACACGGAACAUCCAGUAGGUGCUGAUUUUGCAACUGUUGCAGUGACUCGACAAACUAAAGACUUGCUAAUAAUUUCACAAAUUUCAACUCAGGCUGCCAGGGAGGAAAGCACACGGAACAUCCAGUGCAGAAUCUUUAUCGAUGAAUUUGGCUUAUCCUUAACGAUCAAUAUUAGUGCCUAUAAAGUUCUUAAACAGAGAAUCAAACACAAAUACAGAAGGCUAGAAUUGCUUCUACCAAGUGAACAUAAAACUAUGAAAUUAUCAAUUAACAAGCAUAAAUCUAUCACAUUCAUAAAAAUAUCCAACUGAUGUAACCAAAUCAGUGUGUAACAUGAACAUUAAUUCAACGUAGAACAUUUAUAAAUUGUCAAAGUUUUGUCAUGGGAACAAAAGCAGUAGAAAAUUAGAAAAGAGAAACAGAACCUCUCGUUAAACAGCAAACCCGAGCCGAAAUAGCAGGCCACCGGACGAGAAACUCAAAUAGGCACCGGAAUUUCGAAUCGAACACGAACUCGAAUCAAUCUCGGCUGAAAUUAUCCCCAUACUCGAAUAACCAGAAGUCUAAUCCAAUUGAAGAAACAGAACCAAAACCAUCUCUGAAAUCAAUUUAUCUGGUGUGUGCUUUUGAGAAUUUCCGGCGACGAAUUGCGAGUGAAUUCCGACGAUACUGAUGAGUGACUGAGCGUAUGUGUGUAGCCAGUGAAGGAGUGAAUUGGGUGUUGUUUUCCAGUGAGGGAACUUGUUUGGUUGAGUGAUCACCGGCGAAGUAAAGGUCGUUUGGACAGAGGCGACGCCGGAAGUUCAGGAGUUGUUUGGGUGAGCAGUUGUCGGGUGAGAGAGGGAGACGAAAUCAGGGGGUCUUUUUGUGUUCAAUCUAUUGCGUUCCUUUUUCUUUUUCUUUCUGUAUUUUUUUCCCUUUUGCGUGUCUUUUACGUCUUUUUUUGUUUUGUUUUUUUUUUUGAAAUAACGAAAAAAUCAUUUUGUUUAAUUUUUGGAAAUGGUUUGCUUAGGGCAAAAAUCACGUGCUCACAUAUGCCCCUCUUUGCCCGGAAACACGAAGAGUUUUCGUGCAAAGACAAGUGAGCGGAAAUGAGGGAUUUUUGACCGUUCACAUAUUCCAUGUGAAGCAUUUUUGUUUUGAAAAGUUUGACCGCGCCCUGCUUCAGAGGUUGACUACAUAUCCUGGGCUAAAUAGAAAUCAGGUCAGUGUAGUUCAGGAGUGCCUGGUAGCUGGGACUACCAGGAGCUGUGAUGUAGUUCAGGAGUGCCUGGCAGCUAGGACUACCAGGAGCUGUGAUUUCACUGAUGUGGUGUUGUUACUGCUCGGUGACCUUCCUUAUUACACCCAUGUUAAAAGUAAAAGAAACUAACCUAAGCUAUGAACUACGAAUUACAAAAAGACCUAUCUAGAAUCUUCAAACUGGCCUCUUGUACUUCCUUAUUGUCUUGUGUUCCCUUGUUGUUACUCCUUGUUGUUACUUCAAAUCAUGAACUGAGACGUUGUUCCUUCUCUCCAAAUUGUUGAACUUGAACUUGAAAGUACUCCUCUGCUAUCCAGGCGGGCUCCUGACUACUGAACUUGAAUUUGAAAGUAUUCCUCUGUUAUCCAGGCGGGCACCUGACUUCUGAAAUAUGAAUUGUAUGUCUCUAUUCUCCAAGCGGACUCCUGACUUCUGAAUAGACAAGAAAAUUGAUCGAAAACUAAAAUUGGAAUUAUAUCGCCUCUAUUUUUCAGGCGGAUUCUAGACUUCAAACUUGAAUUGUAUGUCUCUAUUCUUCAUGCGGACUCCUGACUGCUAACUUGAACCGUAUGUCUCUGUUCUCCAGGCGGACUCCUGACUGCUGAUUUUUGAAUUGUAUGUCUCUAUUCUCCAGGCGGACUCCUGAUUUCAAAAUAGACAAAGAGGUUGACUGAAAACUAAUAAUUUGAAUUAUAUCACCUCUAUUCUUCAGGCGGGCUCCUGACUGCUGAUAAUUUGAAUUGUAUGUCUCUGUUCUUCAGGCAGACUCCUAACUUCAAAAAUUCUAAAUGCAUGUCUCUAUUCUCCAGGCGGACUCCUGACUUCUGAAAUUGAAAUGCGGACCUCUGUUCUCCAGGCGGGCACCUGACUACCACAAUAAAUGAAGGAAUUGAUUUUAAACUAAUAACUUGAAAUAUAUCACCUCUAUCUUCAGGCGGGUCCUCCUUAUUGCUAUUGUUUUCCAGGCGGGCACAUGACUACCAAAAUAAACGAAGGAACUGAUUUAAAACUAACAACUUAAUUGUAUCACCUCUAUUUUUCAGGCGGGCUCCUGAUUUUGGAAUUGUAAAUGCAUGUAUUCCUCUGUUAUCUAUGCGGGAUCCUCAUUGAUGACUAAAAUGUAUUCCUCUAUUCUUGAGGCGUGCUCCUGACUACUAAAACUUGAAAUGUAAUCCUCUAUUCUUAAGGCGUGCUCCUGAUUUCACAAAAAUGGACAAGACAACGAAAACUUUCUGCCCCAGUUUGGGAAAACUGGGGCUUGUUACCACAUACUAAAAAUGAUUGAAACUAAAACUUGAAUUGCGAUAAAAUUGAAGUAUAACGGUUAACAUUUAAAUACUAAAAUGUACUCCUCUGUUUUUCAGGCGGGCUCCUGACUUCAACAUCGCUUCAUGCCACUCCUCAUUUGACUGAAGCAUAUCUAUUAACAUUUAAAUACUGAAAUGUACUUCAACAUCGCUUCAUGCCACUCCUCAUUUUCUUGCAUUUCACCCAUGUCACACUUGCGAUUAAACUUGAUUACUUCCUGCUUUUCUUGCCCCUGUUUCAAUCACCGAAAAUUUUGUUAGUUUAAAAAUGGUGGUUAGUUGAUAGCAUUCUUGCUGCAUCAUCCUUCCAUUGCCUUGCUUUGUGUUGCCUGACUUCCUCCGAACUGCCUGACUUUCUGACCGACUUUCACAUUCCCCAAUUCUAAUAACCUGAAUGCUUUUGUACUUCCCAUGUUGUUUCACCUUUCCGACUCUUUUUGCCUGGACCUUCACAUUUCCCACAAUAUUUCCCGAAAAUUCUGCCGAUGUGACUUCCAGCGACUUUCCCUAUUUUGCUUUUCGUCACAUUGUUGCUGAUAUGCUCUGGCCACAUUAUGCUUUACCAUUUUUGGAAGCCGGUAGUGGGCUUUGAAAUCGUUUCUCAUUUGCAUUGAAUAAAACUGACAUUUGCCGAUGAAACUCCCGGCGACACCCCCUAUUUCAUUUUACAUCACAUUAUUGCUGACUUGCUCUGGCCACAUUACGCUUUACUAUUUUCGGAAGUUGGUAGUGGGCUUUGAAAUCCUUUCCCCUUUUAUUGAAUAAAACUGACAUUGGAACAGUUAGACAAACAAACCCCCAAAAAAGAAUAAAAUGCAAUAAUUUUAUGAGUUAAGGAUAAGAAGAAUCCAAAACCAGAUGACUGUUGAAAAGGAAAAGAAAAGAAACUUAUCGGACCGGAGCAGCUGGUACCAAUGAUUACGACAUGCAUUUCGGACUAACCGUCCCAACCGAUCCAACUAACCAGCUCUCAGUCGCCAUACCUCGUUGCCCAGGACUUCCAUCACCUGAUUAUUUUACCCAAACCUUAACCUCAUUUAGCCUGCGAUGCCACGAAACAGUUUUCACCAACAGACUUUCUCUGCUUACCAUUUCUCAUCUCAUUUUCGCCUUAUGGUGCCCGUGAGUGUUUUCACCACUAAGACUCUCUCAUUUUGUUUUCUCUCAGCUCCCGUCGUCUUACGGUGCCCUUUCCACCAAUAAGACUCUCUCAUUUUUAUCUUUUACUAUUCUUGCUCGGACCAGGGUGUUGCCCCUGUGGCAAAUUACCUUUUCUUGCUCGACUUGGAAUUUCUUAGAAAUUGAUUAGAAGGUCUCUCUUUGGACCAUAAUUUAGACUUUUGGAUGGGUUAGAAAGAAGGGUAUAAAAGGCUCAAAAUAAUUUCAAAAUGGGUUAACACUACAACUCUCGGAAUCCAAUUUCUCACAAUGAACCACAACUUCUGCCCCAGUUUCUUGCUUGGGGACUUUUGGAAUAUUAUUUUGGUAUGACUAAACCUCGGAGUAAGGCUGCCUACGUACCCUUUCGGGAUCAAGUCAAACGUAGUUUACUUUAUCGUAAUUACUUGUGUUGUGAUUCUUUUUUUUCUUUCCUUUUGUUUUGUUUUCAUUUUCUUUCUUUUCUUUUCUCUUUUCUUUUCUUUCUUUUUCUUCUCUUUUUUUCUUUCUUUUUCUCUUUUUUUUUCUUUCCUUUUCCCUUUUCUUUACUUUACGCUUGGCACCUGUGUUUCUUGAUUGUGCAGUUGAUUCCGAAAGAGGGGUAUGAACGAAAAUAAUUAAGGCCCAAAGGGGUAACAAAGGAUAAAAGUGUUUGGAUAGCAGAACAAAAUGCCUUCAUAAUUUCAAUCUUUAAAAUAUUCCAAAUACAAACAAAUACAUUCAGAAAUAAAGAAAUCAUACAUAAUAUAUCUUGACCGCAUCAGAAUUGAUGGCCAUUUCUACACAUGUUCCUUUUGUAUCUGUCAAAUAUAGUACGCCAUUAGACAACACUCUGGUUACUACAAUUGGCCCUUGCCAGUUCAGAGCGAACUUUCCUUUUGCUUCGGCCCAAUGAGGCAAAAUACGCCUCAGCACCAACUCUCCCUUGCUAGUUCGGGGUGAACUUUCCUUUUGCUUUGGCCCAAUGAGGCAAAAUACGCCUCAGCACCAAUUGUCCAACCUCGAACUUCCUCGGACGUACUUUCUUAUUGUACGCUCUUGCCAUCCUUCUCUAGUAUAAUUGACCAUGGACCAUUAAUGCCAACCUUUUCUCGUCAAUCAAACUUAACUUCUCGAGGUGACUUUUUACCCAUUCAUCAUCAUCGAUCUCAGCCUCCGCAACAAUUCGCAGAGACGGGAUUUCCACUUCUGUGGGUAUUCCUGGCUCGGUGCCAUAGACCAAUGAAUAAGGAGUCGCCCCUACCGAAGUACGAACGGUGGUGCGAUAUCCCAAUAAUGCAAAAGGCAACUUCCCAUGCCACUGUCUAGACCCUUCAACCAUUUUCCGCAAUAUUUUCUUUAUAUUCUUGUUGGCCGCUUCAACGGCACCAUUUACUUUAGGGAGAUAUGGUGUAGAAUGACGGUGAGUAAUCUUGAACUGAUCACAUGUUUCCUUCAUCAAAUGACUGUUGAGAUUAUUCCUAUUGUCCGUGAUAAUCAGCUUUUGUAUACCAAACCGACAAAUGAUGUUCGCAUGCACAAAAUCCACCACGGCUUUCUUAGUCACGGACUUGAACGUCUUCGCUUCCACCCACUUAGUAAAAUAAUCUAUUGCUACCAGAAUAAACUUGUGCCCUUGAUGCCGCUGGAUCAAUCGGACCAAUAACAUCCAUGCCCCAAGCCACUAAAGGCCACGACGCUGACAUCGUAUGCCAUUCUGACGGUGGAGAAUGAAUCAAAUCUCCAUGCACUUGGCACUGAUGACAUUUACAUACAAAACUGAUACAAUCCCGCUCCAUUGUAAGCCAAUAAUACCCUGCCCGUAAGAUCUUCUUUGCCAAAACAUAUCCACUCAUAUGUGGUCCACAGACUCCAGAAUGUACCUUGGUCAUGAUAGUCGUAGCUUGCCUCGCAUCCAUGCACCUCGACAGUCUGAGAUUUGGUGUUGUUUUGUACAGUACUCCUCCACUCAGGAAAAAUCCACUUGCCAAUCGACGAAUAGUCCUUUUCUGAUCACCGGUGGCCUGUGAAGUAUAUACUCCCAUCCUAAUAUAUUCCAUGAUGUCAUGAAACCACGGCUCACUGUCAAGUUCCUCUUCUAUCACAUUACAAUAAGCAUUUUGAUCAUAGACCUGAAUCUGCAAUGGAUCUACGUAAGCCUUAUCUGGAUGAUGUAACAUAGAUUCCAAAGUAGCUAAAGCAUCAGCAACCUUAGUAUGAACCCUCGAGAUGUGUUUGAACUCUAUUGACUGAAACAUUUGAUAAAGCUCGUGUAGGCACUGUCGGUAUGGUAUUAAUUAUAGAUCCCGUGUUUCCCAGUCUCCUUGAAUUUGGUGUACCAAUAGGUACUAGUCACCCAUGAUCAAGACUUCCCAAACACCCAUAUCCACAGCUAAUCUCAGACCGAGAAUGCAUGCUUCAUAUUCUGCCAUGUUGUUCAUAAUAGAAUGAAGCUGAGUCGUAACAAGAUAAUGCUGACCUUUUCCGAAAAUAAGUACGGCUCCUAUUCCCACGCUUUUCGCAUUUGCCGCUCCAUCAAAGAACAUUUUCUAUCCUGGUUUCUCUACCUGGUCCGACUCAUCAAUAUGCAUUACCUCUUCAUCGGGGAAGUAACUUUUCAAAGGCUCGUCAUCGUCAUCAAUUGGAUUCUCAGCCAAAUGAUCAGCUAAAGCAUGUGCUUUCAUUGCAGUCCAGGUCACAUAGAUAAUAUCAAACUCUGUAAGCAAGAUCUGCCACUUUGCGAGCCUUCCCGUGGGCAUAGGCUUCUGGAAAAUAUACUUCAGUGGAUCUAACCGAGAUAUGAGGUAAGUAGUUUAGGAUGGCAAAUAAUGCUUCAACUUCUGUGCCACCCAAUAUAGGGCACAACAUGUCCUCUCUAGAUAGGUGUAGGACGACAAAUAGUGUUUCAAUUUUUGUGCCACCCAAGUUAGGGCGCAACACGUCUUCUCCAAGUGAGUGUACUUAACCUCGUAAGAUGUGAACUUCUUGUUGAGAUAGUAGAUCGCAUGCUCCUUCCUGCUAGUAACAUCAUGCUGCCCUAGUAUGCAGCCAAACGAAUUAUCCAAGACCGUCAGAUACAGAAUCAAAGGUCUACUGGUUCUGGCGGAACCAACACGGGUGGAUUCGACAAAUAUCCCUUUAUCUUUUCGAAAGCUUUCUGACAUUCAUCCGUCCAUUUAACCGCAACAUCUUUCUUUAGCAGUUUGAAAAUGGGUUCACAAGUAGUUGUGAGCUGAGCAUGAACCUGCUAAUGUAAUUCGAUCUUCCCAACAAACUCAUCACAUUAGAAUUGUUUCUUGGAGGUGGCAAUUGCACAAGUAGUUGUGAGCUGAGAAAUGAACCUUCUAAUGUAGUUCAAUCUCCCCAACAAACUCAUCACAUCAGUUUUGUUUCUCGGAGGUGGCAAUUCCUGAAUGGCCGUAAUCUUUUAUGGAUCCAAUUCAAUUCCCCAACGACUGACUACAAACCCUAGCAACUUUCCAGAUGGCACCUCGAAAGCACACUUUGUAGGAUUGAGCUUGAGCUUAUACCUGCGUAGCCUUUGAAAGAAUUUCCUCAAAUCCCUGACAUGGUCGGACUGCUGGCUUGAUUUCACAAUCACAUCAUCUACGUACACCUCAAUCUCUUUAUGUAUCAUAUCAUGGAAGAUCGUUGUCAUAGCCCUCAUGUAGGUUGCCCCAGCAUUUUUCAAAUCAAAUGGCAUGACCCGAUAGCAGUAUGUUCCCCACGGCGUGAUGAAUGUCGUCGCCUAUGCAUCUUCCUUGUCCAUUAAGAUCUGAUGGUUACCGGCAAACAAUCCACAGAAGAACCAAUCUCAUGUUUGGCACAAUUGUCGAUCAAUAUGUGGAUGUUUUCCAAUGGAAAGUUGUCUUUUGGACUUGGCUUGUUGAGAUCUCAAUAAUCAACGCACACCCUGGUUUUGCCAUCUUUCUUCGGCACAGGCACAACAUUAGCUAACCAGGUAGGAUACCGUGUAACCCGAAUGACCUUUGCAUCAAGCUGCUUAGUGAUCUCUUCUUUAAUCUUCACACUUAUGUCUGUUUUGAACUUUCUCAGUUUCUGCUUAACAUGUGGGAGUGAUGGAUCGGUAGGCAAUUUUUGAGCCACGAAAUCAGUACUCAGUCCCGGCAUAUCAUCGUAGGACCAAGCAAAAAUGUCUUUAUGUUCCAACAACGCUGGGAUUAUUUCUUCCUUGAGUUGCGGCUCCAGAUGAACACUUAUUUUAGUUUCACGGACAUUAUCUUGGUCCCCUAGGUUAACUGCUUCUGUUUCAUUUAAGUUCGGUUUGGGUCAAAGUGUUUUAAUUCCUUACUAAUUUCUUCAUAGGCUUCAUCAUCAUCAUAUUCCUCUUCAUCAUCACAUUCAAUUUCUUGUAUUAUUAUUUCUAAGUUAGGUUGGCUUAUAAAAAACAGAGUCCCACUACCGUGACUCCUUCCGAACUGGCAGAUGAGUGGCUUCCCAAUUACUGAUCCUAGCAUGUGGCUCAAUGUGCUGAAUGUCUGCAUUACUGGAACCUUCACCAGCCUCAACCAUGUUUACUUCUACAAAUACCCUCUCAAACACUUUGUCCAAAUUCCCCUCUGCACCAAUCAAUGAACCCGUCGCCUGUGUUGCUAACUGAUUUUUGGCCCUCGGCCUAACGAAUGACUUGGAUAGACGAGGAAUUGGUUUGGGAAGAACCCAAGCUUUCUUUUUCAACUUACGAGCCCUUCUUAUAUCUGUUGUUGUUGGCUUGAACCCCAGCCCGAAGGUGUCUAAAUUCUUAGGCAAGGAAACGGGUUGAACAAUGCCCUGAAGCUUGGCACCCAGACCUUUUCCUGGCACAAACCCAUUACCCAUCAUUUCUAAAAUCACCAUGACGGUUGCAGCAGUAACCCGGGGAAGUGGAGUGCUUUUACGAACCCAUUACCCAUAAUUUUUGAAACCACCAUGAUGGUUGCAGCUGCUACUCGGGGAAGUGGAAUGCUUUUACCCUCUAGCUACUUGUUCACAGUGAUCGUGUCAAAAACCUAACAGACCCAUGGCCCCUUAUCGUCAUCGGUUUCUAUAAAAAGCAUAAUAGCAUCACCUGCAGCGCUUGUGGGGUCUUCUCUAUGUAGCACCACCUCUUUCUUGUCCCAUUCAAAUUUGACAAUUUGAUUUAGUGAGGAGGGUACUGCUUCAGCCGCAUGGAUCCAUGGUCGUCCCAACAAAAGAUUGUAUGAUACUGCAGCGUCCAACAACUCGAACUCCAUAAUAAACUCCACUUGGCCGAUGGUCAACUCGAGUAUAAUGUCCCCCACCGUGUCUGUUCCACCUCUGUCAAACCCUCGGACACAUACAUUGUUCCUAAGGAUUCUGUCAUUAUCGAUCUUUAGCUUGUUCAGUGUAGACAUCGGGCAAAUAUUGGCACUAGAUCCAUUAUCUAUCAAUGCCCUGGUCACCACUGAAUCUUCACAUUUGACUAUCAAGUAAAGGGCUUUAUUAUGCUAUGUUCCUUCCACGGGCAACUCAUCAUCCGAAAACGUUUCCUAUUUACCUCAAAGAUCUUAUUAGCAAUUAUCUCCAAGCGGUUCACUGAAAUCUUAUUAGGCACAUGGGCUUCAUUUAAUAUCUUCAUCAAAGCUCGCCGAUGUUCAUCAGAGUGGAUCAACAAUGACAACAACGAGAUCUAGGCUGGUGUUUAUCUCAGUUGCUCGACAAUGGAAUAGUCAUGUACCUUCAUCUUUCUUAGAAACUCCUCUGUUUCCUCCUCCGUAACGGCUUUCUUGACCGAGUCAACCCUUGCACCUCACAACUCUCUUCCUCAAUUUCUUUUCCCUUGUAUGUUACUAUCACCUUCUCAUAUUUCCAUGGAACGACUUUGCUAUCAACCAUGGGUAACUGGACUAUUAGCUUGAUGAUCAUUGGCUCCAUAUAAGCACCUUUCACAACAACCAGGGGCGCAGAUGAUGCCUCUAGUACCACCAACUAUUGACCAUAGGUAGUUGGAUUACCGGCUUUAUGAUGACCGGUUCUAUGCAGGCCCCUUUCACAACAACCACGGGCGCCGGUGACACCCCUGGUACCACUAACUUGGUUAGCUCUAGCUUCUUUGCAACAAUAGAUAAUUCUUUCCCCAUCACUACCAUUGGCUUGUCACUUGUACCUUUCAAUUUCACCUCUGCCUGUCCCCGAGUCGGCUUUUCUUUUGAACUGGUCUCAAAAGCACGAAUCAUCAUCACGAUUUAUGAGGGUUUCUUCACCUCUCCAACCUUGUGUACCAACUCAAUCAUGUUAGUCUCGUGAUGCGCUAGCAGCGGGUUCUAAUUGAUGUUUGGCACCUCCGGGGCCUGUACUUAAAUACGGCGGUUGUCAAUAAGCUCUUGCACUGCACUCUUCAACUUCUAACAUUUUUUGAUUUCAUGUCCCGGCAUUCCCGAGAAAUACUCACAGCUAACGGACUAGUCCAGGUUUCUGGGAGUUGGGUUUGGUACUUUGGGCUCGAUUGGGGUUAACAUUCCCAACUGCUUCAGUCUAUGGAAUAAAGCGGUGUAAGAUUCUCCCAAUGGGGUAAAAGUUCUUCUGUUUGGGGCCAUCUCAUUCCGAAAAGUUUGGUACGGGCAAAAGCCGGGUCCUGGUCUGUCAGCCCUGGGGUGUGGAUAGGUGUUUUGUGGAGAAUUAUAUGUAUUUUGGAGAACCGGUGCAUGCCAUUGCGGGUGCGUCGGAGGCUGAGUGUAUGUCUGGGCAUGGUGGACAGAGAAGUGUGGUUCUGGUGGUGAGUAGUAAUGUUGUGGUGGGCCUUAUGGGGUAUAUGGGUAGUUUGGGUGGUGGGGUCUGGGUUGGCUAUAGUAGGGUGGAGGAUUGCUAGGCCGGGACUAGGUGCUAGCUUCCGUUGUGGCCACUUCUUCCUUAUUCUUCUUUCCCAGCACACCACCGGUACUGCUUUGUAUGGCCUGCGUGGUUUCUUUCAGCGUUGAAUAACUCAAGAUUUUGUUAGACUUUAAACCCUCUUCAAUCAUGGAGCCCAUCUUCACUACUUCAUUGAAUGAUUAACCCAUAGACAUCACUAGAUGACCGAAGUAUGUCGGUUCUAACGUUUGCAGAAAGUAGUCUAUCAUCUUGUUUUCCCUCAUUGGGGAUCCACUCUGGCUACUUGUUCCCUCCAUCGGAAACCAAAUUCUCUAAAGCUUUCUCCCUGCUUCUUCUCAAAUUUCAACAAUGACAGAAAAUCAGGGAAUAUCUCGAAUUUGUAUUGAAAAUGGCCAAUGAACGCCUGUGCCAGACAUCCCAUGUAUACCAUCGGCUAGGGUCUUGUCUUGUGUACCACUCCAAUGCAGACCCGCUCAGACUUUGACUGAAGUAGGCUAUUAGUAAUUCAUCUUUUCCCCCAGCACCUCUCAUCUUACUGCAGAAUCCUCGGAGGUGGGCCACCGGAUCGCUGUGUCCCUCGUACAAGUCAAAUUUAGGCAUCUUGAACCCCACGGGCAACUGGACAUUAGGGAAAGGGCACAAGUCUUUGUAUGCAACACUGACUCUGCUUCCUGAACCGUGCAUGUUCCUGAAGGAAUGAUCCAGGCUUUUGAAUUUUCUGAUCACUUCCUCAUGCUCUGAUUUUUAACUGGUUUCUGGAUUUCUUCUGGGAUCUCAAAGUGAGGGGUAUAUGAAUACGGCUCAGGAGCCUUAAAAGUGGGUUCAGGAGUGUAGUAUUGAGUGUCAUGAGCUUGGAAUAAUUGUUCACUAGAGGACCUUUGUAAUGGAGUUGGAGGAGGAGCCACAAAGAUUGGAGCCACGGGUGGAGGAGGAUUUUGUUUGGGUGGUGGAGCCGGUGGAGCAUAUGAAGUAGUGGCAUACCCUUGGGUGUUAUAUUGGAAGGGUGGAGAUGUUUUGGGAGUGGGAGGUUCCUGAGCUUGCACUAGGUGCGGGAUAUAAGAAGGGUCGGGGUAUAAUGGUGUUGGGGUGGCAUACCCUUGGGUGUUAUACUGUAAGGGUGGAGAUGUUUCGGGAGUGGGAGGCUCCUGAUCUUGCACUAGGUACGGGAUAUAGGAGGGGUAUGCGGGGCAUAAUGGUGGUGGGUUCCCCUGAGACCAAGCCCGGUGCAUGGCAUCCAUUUGGGCUUUCAACGUAUUCAUCUCUUCUUUCAUAGCGCUCACAUCGGUCACCUCGACCUCUUUCGCGGGGUCCUUAAUACUAGUAUCUAAAUCCUGUCCAGUCAUUUCUUUAUCCUUCGACCGGGCGUUGUACUAAUGAGUUGCCAAAAUUGCCAAUCAACUAACCACCUGCCUGUACUCACACAUUUAAAACAACCACUUCAUUAACGAUUAGGCUUUAACAGAUUUGAUAACCGCACGUUGGCAUGAAUGCACCUAUACAGUUAAUCAUUACUAUUAUGCAUUUGUUCGCCCACAUGUGUCAUCCCGACAUUCCUUUCUUUGUUUCAUUGUCUCAUUCUAUUCCGCUUUUUUCUUUCUUUUCUCUUUUCUUAAUCUCACCUUUGUUUUUCCACUCUUGCUCUUUUUCCGCUCUUAUUUUUACCUUUGUUUUUCCGCUCUUCUCUUUCUUUCUUUUUCUUUUAUUCUCGCCUUUGUUUUUCCACCCUUUUCUUUCUUUCGUUUCUUUUACCUCCAUUUCUUUUCUUUUUUUUUUGUUUAAAACUACGGUCGAUUCCUAUGGAGAUUGCCUACGUAUCGUGACCCCGCACGAAUCCAAGCGUAGUUCGUGAAUAUAAAUGCGAAAAUAAAUAAAAACAAUUUUUGGGAGUUUUCCAAUUUUCAUUACUAGCAUAACUUAUUACAAACUAAACAUUCUUCCCAAACGAAACAACAGACACAAACUAAGACCAAACCAACUUCAAACUACAGACUCACUUUGACAUGAAAAACAACGGACAAACAGACUCAAAAUAGAAAAAGAAACAGACACAACCUACGCAUAGUCUAAUGACCCAAAUCUAGGUGCCCGCGGGGCGUUGUUCGGCCUCGCCACGGGCCUAGGUCCCAAGUCCCUUUCGAGGUGCUCUAAAUCAUUCAUUAUUCGAUUCACAUAGAUCUGCACUGCUUGGACAAAAGUUGGAUGGGUCAUAUCCUCACAGACCCGGCAUCUCCUGAAAAUAUCCAGGCAAUGGCUCUAAUCUGGUCCCUUGUUUGCCUCUUUUCUGUAAGCAAGCGCUCUAUCUGGUCGGUUCAUGUCUUUAAUGCCCGAGAAUCUUGUAGGUGCUGAUUUUGCAACUGUUGCACCUCUACCUCCAUUCGGGCCAACAAAUCGUAUCACUGUCCACUUUCGAUUUUGAAAUCCCUGGCCUGCCUGAUCGCUUUACCCAUAAGGGAAGCCACUUUUCUCUUCAGAUUGUCAACAACUUGUGUCCACUUUCAAUUUCGAAAUCCCUAGCCUGCCUUAUCGUUUUACCCUCAAGGGAAGCCACCUUUCUCUUCAGAUUGUCAAUAAUUUCUUCGUGGUCCUUUUUCAGUUGAUUCAAAUAUUGGCGACGCUCUGCUACUCUUGUAGCCCACUGUGUUUUGAACCCUGCCAUGACACUUUCAGAUUUUUCUAACUCAUCCCGGCACUCCCUAACUUCCUUUAUUAGCCCUUUUAUCAAUCGUUCAUCUGAGCAACUCCUCAAUUGUUUAUCAAUGGCUGUUUUCAAUGGCUGGAUAUGGGCCUUAAGCUCUGCGUUUCUUGGGCCAAUCUAUUCUUUUCACCCUGUUCUGCAGUGACUUGCACACUGUUUUCGGAUUUCAAACUUUCUACUUGUUGCUUCAACUUCCCUGUCUCAGCCCGGUAACCUUCCUCUUUUGCUAAAUCUUGGAAGUGGGGUCUUUUAGCCGGCCUCUAAUAUUCAAGUUCUCUCUUGUACCACAUGAGGUAAUUUUACACCACUUCGCCCCUGGCCCGAUCCAGCACAAAAUUAUCUGCUUGUAAGAAUUGACCUUCAUUCCAUACUCAGCGAACUCUUGCUUCAGGAAACUGUCCAUCAAGGAUAAUCUCAAUCACCUGUGUGCUCAAAUCCUCCUCUGGUGGGAUUAUUUAAUAUCUCCCGAGUUGUCUCAGAACCUGAUAAGGAGCAUAAGGCUGGACGCUAUUCAGCCCCAUCAGAAGGAAAUGUGACCCGGCCUCUGACAUGUAUAAGUUUUCUCCCAGGGGCAACCAUCCCAAAGUCCACUGUAUCUAGUUGGCCUUCAGCGUCCGGAAGUACGAUACCCAUGCCUUUACACCUUCAGGAAAACUAACCCCAUCAGUUCUUGUGAAAAACUCUCCAAUACAAGUUUUAUCGGGUGAACCAUAACUCAAAAAUUGGGAACGGUGGCACAUAUGCUCGAUCAUCCGCAUCUGUAACAACAUAUUACACCCCUCAAAAGACGUGCCCCCAACUUUACAGGCAGUGAGAGCUCGGAAUAUGUCGGACACGAUCAUAGGAGCAAGAGUAAUUCCAUCUUGGCUAAGCAAAGUACUAACGAUCCCGGCCACCUUUAUAUCAGUAUUCCCAUCCUUCCUGUGGAAUACUAAGACGCCCAAAAAGUUUAUCAUGAAGGCCACUCUUCUGUGAUCAUCCCACUUUCGCCGGUUAUUUCUACUGCAUAGCCUGAUAUCCGGGUUGUUGAACCCUUCCACAUGGCCGUAUCUAUCGUAUAUGAAUCGGGGAGUGCAGAAACCAUGUGCCAAGUCUGGAUUGUGAACCGCCCUUGGUAUCUUCAACAUAUCUAAAACCCGAUGCACUGUAAUGGCUCUUGGAGCAACCGGAUAUUGUUUUUUUAGCGGAAUCUCAGCAUUUCCGAUGUACCCAGCUAUUUCUUCCAAUGUUGGAGUUAGCUCAAAAUUCGAGAAGUGGAAAACAUUAUGUGCCGGGUCUCAGAAAGUAACCAGUGCUCUGAUGAUAUCACCCCGAGGAUUGAUGUCUAAUAAGGCCGUGAGACCCUUCAGAUAUUUCUACACUUCAUCCUUCCCCUCUUUGCCCAAGUCAUUCCACCAUAAUUUCAACUCGAAAGGGACUUUGGUCAUUAUUGAAAAAGGUUCAUUUUCCAUUGUGUUCAUCCUGCACAUUUAUUAAGGCGAUUAAGAAAAAAAAACUUAUAUUCGACUCAAAAAUAAAACUAUCUAUAUUCUCUUUCAAAAUUUUAAAAAUGAAAGACUCGGUUCUCAUCCUGCACAUUUACUUAGACGAUUAAGAAAGAAGAAAAAAAACUUAUAUUCGACUCAAAAAUAAAACUAUCUGUAUUCUCUUUCAAAUAUUAAAAAAAACUCGGUUUUCACAACACAGCCUUAUAGCACUUCGGGGAUGAAGAUUUAAAGGAUGUGCGAGUCAAUUGGUCAAAAAUCAAAAUUGACCUAAAAUAAGUGUUUUUGCAAAGUCAGCCUUCCGGCGUCCCUUUCGGGAACAUUCGGCUAUAUAUGACAAAACAGCCUUGCUCACUUAUCUACGACUAUUUUUUCUUCUCAAAUUAAAAUAAAAGACUCAAUAUUGCAAACACAGCCAUUCAACGCCUCGGGGACGCGAAUUUAAGGCUGUGAGGUAUAAAAAUCAAAUCAUGACCAAAAGUGACCAUUUAUGAAAGGUCAGCCUUCCGGUGUCCCGUUUGGGAAUGUUCGGCUAUUUUUGCAAAAACAACAUCAGUCGACUUCUACGAAUCUUUUUAUAUUUUCAAAUUUAAAAAUAAAUCACCCGGUAUUGUAAACACGGCCUUUCAUCGCCUCGAGGACGAAAAAUUUUAAGGCUGUGAGGGUCAAAAAUCAAAAUAUGACCAAAGGUGACUAUUUAUGCAAAGUCAGCCUUCCGGUGCCCCGUUUGGGAACAUUUGGCUAUUUUUGACAGAAACGGCAUCACCCGAUUUAUUCAUAACAAAAAUAAAAUUUUGAUAUUUUUUUGGCUAUUUUUGUAAAGGAGAGGCUGGACCGGAUGAAGGUUGCCUACGUAUCUCACGCCCUGUGAGAAUCAAAUCAUGCGUAGAUCGGGCAAGUUAACCGAACCAUUUCAAAACAAGACUCUUUUCAUUUUCAUUUUUGGUAUUUCAUAAGCAAAUAACAAAACUUCUUUCAAAAGCACGACUCUUUUUCAUUUUCAUUUUUGGCAUUUCAUAAACAAAUAGAAAAACUAUUUUUAGAAAAACAAGACUCUUUUUUUUCAUUUUUAUUUUUCAUGGCAAGACAAACUACUUUUCUUUUCCAUUUUUGAAAACAAAAUAAAAUAACGACUCUUUUUUUUUCAUUUAAACAAACAAUAAAACAACCUAUUUUUCCAAACUAAAAUAAAGACUCUUUUCAUUUUCUUUCCCAACAAACAACUUUCCAAAAAUAAAAGACUUUUUUUUUCUAUUUUUUUCUUUAUUUUUUUAGUAAAACAAAAUAAAAAAUUUUCCUUCUUUUUUCAUUUUCUCAAAAUUUCGGCAGAGUUUCAACAGUAGUUGGUCAUUGGUUUUUCUAAAAUAAUCAAUUAACUCCCUAACUGCUAUUUUUCUCAUUGUCUCUUUUUCCCAUUUUUCCAAUAUUCCCGAGAUUUAGAAGCCGGUCAAUAUGCAGGUCAAAACAAAUAUAUGUAUAGAACAAGUAGGAUGCAUCAAGAUGGUCUUUUUCAUUUAUGGUUGCUAGCCCCAGAUGGAUCCAACCCCUGUGUUGAGUCCCCUAAGUCAAAUGCAGUAUGAUACAAAUACGCGCUCCUACUAGGGAUCCGGCAUGAAGUCAUGUUAUUCUAGGUCCAAAACCUGAGUAUGUGUUCUGGACUGUGUACCCGAGUGGACAAAUCGAAUCGAGGAGGGGGCAGCGUACCGGUAACCUGCGUGAUCAUCCGGCUUUGCAACUUAUCCGACAUCUUUCUUAUUUCAGGGUAUAGCACUAAAAGAAUAGGGAGUCUCAACCAGUAAGUACAUCCCCGGAGGUGAAGAGAGAAGGGUGUCGGCACAGUUUAUAUACAGUUCAGAUAAUAUCAUUCCGGUAAUAUUUAGCAAAUUAAGCAUGAAACAUGUAGAAAAAUCAGAUAUGGCAAAAUACAACAAUUUAUCAAAGCUCGAAUUCUGAACCUUGAACAAAACGUUCUGGGUUCCCAUCCCCAGCAGAGUCGCCACAGCUGUCACACCUCCUUUUUCACCUACACAUCGCAAGGGGGUAAAGGAGUUUUUCCACUUAAAGGACAAUUAGAAUGGGAUUUAGUUUAUUAAUUAUUCAGAGUUGCCACUUGAUAGAUUAAUCGUGUCCCAAGUCACCGGUCUUAAUCCCGAACCGAGGAAAAUUAUGACUCUGUUAACAAUCUGCGAACCAGAAAUCCGGGUAAGGAAUUCUGUUAACCCGGAAGAAGGUGUUAGACAUUCCCGAGUUCCGUGGUUCUAGCACGGUCGCUUAACUGUUGCAUUUGAUUUUAUCUGAUUUUAAUACAUGCUAGCCUAUGUACCUUUUAUUUAUAUACCGCUUUUACCGUUAUUUAUUUUAAAAGACUUGCAACGUCGUGAAAACGCGUCUAUGACCACGUCGCCAUCAAGGCACCCGUGGUCGUCAACACAUUUUGACUUCGUCGAGAUUGGAUUUGGGUCGCAAUAAUGCGCACUCGAGUUUAAGAAAGUAAUUUAGUUAAAUCGCGCUUAUAGGUUCUAGUGUAAUAUUGUUUUGGGAAAGGCCGUUGAAAUUCGCUAAACGGCCCUUCCAAAUUCUAGUCAUUUUUAAUGACCAAUUAUUGAGGGCCCCACAUUUAUUUAUUUUUCGGUGAGGCUCGUCUCCAUUUUUGAACCAAUUUUCGAUCGUUAUUUGUUUUAUAAGAAUUACGACGUCAUGAAAACGCGUUUCUAACCCCGUCGCACCAAGGCACCCGUGGUUAUCAACACAUUUCGAGUUCGUCGAGAUUUGGAUUCGGGUUGCAUCAAUGCGCACCCGAGUUUAAGAAGAUAAAAUUAUUAAAACAUGCCUAAAGUAAUUUCGCAUUUGUGAUCUGCGAGGGCCAUGGAAUUUAGCUAAAUAGCACGUCUCGAAAUCUAAGGAUCAAUGCAAGAUUAAUUAAAGUGAGGGCCAUGCAAUUGUCAUAUUAAAUUUUGUUUUAGGAAAUUCGGUGUUCUAUUCCUCCUAACAGUGAAUCUAUGUACGCCAAUGUAAUCAAAUAAAACAUGAAUCCAAAGAGUGACAAAUCAACGCUUGCUUGAGCCCUUCCAGUUGUGUGACUCGACAAACUAAAGACUUGCUAAUAAUUUCACAAAUUUCAACUCAGGCUGCCAGGGAGGAAAGCACACGGAACAUCCAGUAGGUGCUGAUUUUGCAACUGUUGCAUUCAACUCAGGCUGCCAGGGAGGAAAGCACACGGAACAUCCAGUGCAGAAUCUUUAUCGAUGAAUUUGGCUUAUCCUUAACGAUCAAUAUUAGUGCCUAUAAAGUUCUUAAACAGAGAAUCAAACACAAAUACAGAAGGCUAGAAUUGCUUCUACCAAGUGAACAUAAAACUAUGAAAUUAUCAAUUAACAAGCACAAAUUUAUCACAUUCAUAAAAAUAUCCAACAUAUGUAACCAAAUCAGUAUGUGACAUGAACAUUACUUCAACGUAGAACAUUUAUAAAUUGUCAAAGCUUUGUCAUGGGAACAAAAGCACUAGAAAUUGAGAAGAGAGUAACAGAACCUCUCGUUAAACAGCAAACCCGAGCUGAAAUAGCAGGCCACCGGAAUUUCGAAUCGAACACGAACUCGAAUCAACCUCGACUGAACUUUAUCUCCAUACUCGAAUAACCAGAAGUCGAAUCCAAUUGAAGAAACAGAAUCAAAACCAUCUCUGAAAUCAAUUUAUCUCGUGUGUGCUUUUGAGAAUUUCCGGCGACGAAUUGCGUGUGAAUUCCGCCGAUAGUGAGGAGUGACUGAGCGUAUGUGUGUAGCCAGUGAAGGAGUGAAUUGGGUGUUGUUUUCCGGUGAGGGAACUUGUUUGGUUGAGCGAUCACCGGUGAAGUAAAGGUCGUUUGGACAGAGGCGACGCCGGAAGUUCAGGAGUCGUUUGGGUGAGCAAUCGUCGGGUGAGAGAGGGAGAUGAAAUCAGGGGGUCAUUUUGUGUUCAAUCUAUUGCGUUCCUUUUUCUUUUUCUUUCUGUAUUUUUUCCCGUUUUUUGUGUGUCUUUUUCGUCUUUUCUUUUUUUUUGUUUUUUUUUUAAAUAAAGAAAAAAUAAUUUUGUUUAAUUUUUG